rnacentral:rRNA from 1 species
AUUGAACGCUGGCGGCAUGCUUUACACAUGCAAGUCGAACGGCAGCACAGGGAGCUUGCUCCUGGGUGGCGAGUGGCGAACGGGUGAGUAAUGUAUCGGAACGUGCCUGGUAGUGGGGGAUAACUACUCGAAAGAGUGGCUAAUACCGCAUGAGAUCUUUGGAUGAAAGCGGGGGACCUUCGGGCCUCGUGCUACUGGAGCGGCCGAUAUCAGAUUAGGUUGUUGGUGGGGUAAAGGCCUACCAAGCCUGCGAUCUGUAGCUGGUCUGAGAGGACGACCAGCCACACUGGGACUGAGACACGGCCCAGACUCCUACGGGAGGCAGCAGUGGGGAAUUUUGGACAAUGGGGGCAAGCCUGAUCCAGCAAUGCCGCGUGCAGGACGAAGGCCUUCGGGUUGUAAACUGCUUUUGUACAGAACGAAAAGUCUCUGGCUAAUAUCUAGAGAUCAUGACGGUACUGUAAGAAUAAGCACCGGCUAACUACGU